rnacentral:lncRNA from 1 species
CUCUUUACUGCAAAGUGAGAUUAAAAAGAGACCGAUGCACCACCUGGCUGAGCCCAGGCUUCCUCUCGUAUGAUCAGUGAGAGCCUGAAAUGAAAUGGGGAUGCUUUUAUCACUCUGUGGGUCUCUCUAUUCAGUGCAGGCUCUGUGGAUCCUGUGUGAAUCUGUCCAUCACCUUGAAUGUCUGGCGAUCUUGACACCACGCUUCAUGGCCAGGCUGGACCCUCUACUAACUGCUGAGGUUUCACUGCUUGCUUCUGACCUCAGAGGACCUCUUCAUGCCAUCCAGACACCUUCACCUCCAUUGCGAAUUCCUGAUAUGCUGAUAUUCGUGGUUUCUUCCUCUACCUAGCCGCUUCGAGAGUGAGUCCAGCUACCACUGAUACUCCAGAGUCUGAAUUCUGCACUGCCAUGUGUGGGUGACAACUUGACCCCCUCUCUCCUCUGCAGGUGACCUGUUGGGGGUUUGUUUGAGAUUCAGUUGGCAUCUACAUGCCGAUUAAUAUAAAUGUAAACAGGAUUGAACAUUCUCAUGAGGGGAAUACCUCC